GAUGAACGCUGGCGGCGUGCCUAAUACAUGCAAGUCGAGCGACCAGACGAGGAGCUUGCUCCUCUGACGUUAGCGGCGGACGGGUGAGUAACACGUGGAUAACCUACCUAUAAUACUGGGAUAACUUCGGGAAACCGGAGCUAAUACCGGAUAAUAUAUUGAACCGCAUGGUUCAAUAGUGAAAGACGGUUUUGCUGUCACUUAUAGAUGGAUCCGCGCCGCAUUAGCUAGUUGGUAAGGUAACGGCUUACCAAGGCAACGAUGCGUAGCCGACCUGAGAGGGUGAUCGGCCACACUGGAACUGAGACACGGUCCAGACUCCUACGGGAGGCAGCAGUAGGGAAUCUUCCGCAAUGGGCGAAAGCCUGACGGAGCAACGCCGCGUGAGUGAUGAAGGUCUUCGGAUCGUAAAACUCUGUUAUUAGGGAAGAACAAAUGUGUAAGUAACUAUGCACGUCUUGACGGUACCUAAUCAGAAAGCCACGGCUAACUACGUG
rnacentral:rRNA from 1 species